rnacentral:rRNA from 1 species
GACGAACGCUGGCGGCGUGCUUAACACAUGCAAGUCGAACGGUGAAAGCGGAGCUUGCUCCGCUGGAUCAGUGGCGAACGAGUGAGUAACACGUGGGCAACCUGCCCCUCACUUCGGGAUAACUCCGGGAAACCGGGGCUAAUACCGGAUAUGACCUCCUUGGGCAUCCUUGGAGGUGGAAAGUUUUUCGGUGAGGGAUGGGCCCGCGGCCUAUCAGCUUGUUGGUGAGGUAGUGGCUCACCAAGGCGACGACGGGUAGCCGGCCUGAGAGGGUGACCGGCCACACUGGGACUGAGACACGGCCCAGACUCCUACGGGAGGCAGCAGUGGGGAAUAUUGCACAAUGGGCGCAAGCCUGAUGCAGCAACGCCGCGUGAGGGAUGACGGCCUUCGGGUUGUAAACCUCUUUUAGUAGGGAAGAAGCGAAAGUGACGGUACCUGCAGAAAAAGCACCGGCUAACUACGUGCCAGCCGCCGCCGUAA